AAGCGAGUCGGGGAUGCGCUCGGCAGCGGCUGGAGGGACCUGCCGGAGCUGGGGCUGCCGCCGCGGGCAGGCUGAGGAGCAGGGGCCGAGCGGGGAGGCUGCGUUUCAAGCCAGGGGCGAGCGCCGGAGCCAGCCCCGCCCUGUGGCCCGCUAACAACUUUUGGUGCACACCUUGAUUUUGCCGCGCGAACUGUUUGUCUCUCCUUGACCCACCACGCCAGUGCAACAGUGCGGUGCUGUGAGAGAUGCUAGCAGAGCCUGGGCAAAGAGGGAGUUUGACCCGAAACCAUUCCAGAGAGCCGCGCUGCAGAUUGAUUCAACAUCACAAGGAAACCGAAAGCUGAUCCAAUCAGGGUAUUGACAAAUACGCUAACGACGUCGAAAGUAGCCUACUUUAAGAGAAAAUAUGCAGAAGAAGAAGAUUUACAUCAAGAUUACCAGGGGUAUUUUCCAAAACACCUGAUAUUACCUGAGGACCGGACUUGUAUUCUAAAACUGUCUCUGCAGAAACUUCGAUUCCUUGAAGACCCUGAAACCUAUCUCCGCAGGUCUGUGCUUAUUAACAAUUUGCUGAGGAAGAUCCACCUAGAGACAGAUAGAGAGAGCUAUGAAUACUUUAAAGAGGCACCCUGUUAUAGGACCGCUUACUCGGAUACAAGAAAACGGCUGAAGUUUAUGGUACAAGAAUGCUGUUCUCAGUCACUCUAUUAUGAAGAGCUGCAUUCAUUUCAUAUUGUGCCUUAUUCUACAGAGAAUUCCAUUUAUGGAAUGGGUUAUACAAGCAGCCACUUGGAGCAAAAUUCUCAGUUGCUUAUUUACAAAAUGAAUUGAAGUAGCUGUUAGAUCCGCUGAUGUUUUGUUUCUGAAUGCUUGAACUGCUUAUUAACAUGCGAAGGUGAGGCACUAAUUGUAAACACACUUGUGAUGAAAGACGGGAUACAAACAGAGAUGAAUGGAGGAUACUUUGAUUAAUACUCUCCAGUCAUUGGUAUGCAAAGGGUUUUAUAAGCAGAGAUCUUGCGUGCAAUGUAUUUUGUAGAAACUAAGCGACUUUAAGUUGCCAAUGUAGAUAUAAACAUUUUAUCUACUUUGUAUUUAAAUUAUGCCAGACCAGGUGAGAGGUAAAACCAAAAGUGACAGAUUAUUCUGACAAUGAAGAUUUAGGGGCGGGAGUUAUUUUUUGUAAGGUUUAGAAAGCAAGUUUUCUUUGAGAAAUGCUUUGAAUGUGAAGGAAUCAGUGCCAAAAAAAAAGGCUUCUUUGGUUAGGAUUUUCAAAAAAGCAAAAUAACUCAUCUGCUACUCACAAGAAGUUCUACACUGAGAUCAGUCAGCACUCUAGUGAGGGUGUUUUUAAUUGAUCCACUAAAUUGCUCUCACUUCUUACUUAUCUUUCUGUUGAUACACAUUUUGCGACAAAACGGAAUGACUCAGAUGAAAGUCUAUUUUCUCAGCCAGCUGUCAGUGUUUUCUAAACAUGAUUUGAAUGCCCUCCAGGUUGCCUGGCUGGAAUUCUGAGAUUUUUGUGUGUGCGCGCUAUUUACUAUUCGACCAUGUGGUAUAACGCACGAUCAGUGUUUGAGCUUAGGUGAGCACUUUUUUGUGAUUUGAAAACAAAAUAUAACAAAAACCCACAUUCCAGAAAAGGAAUAUAUUACACACUGUAGUAAAACCUCAGAGGACUUUCAUUUGAGAUGAGUUUAAUCUGCAUUAGUGAUAGUGUUUGAGGUGGAGUUAGAUGUCUAAUGUCAAUUUUUGGAAUUUCCUUUAGAAUAUAUAUCAAACAUGUCCUAUGAGACACACUGCGCAAUCUGAUGACAAGAAUGGGAAAGUCAUAGCUGCCAGAGCUAUGUUCUGAAAAUACCAAAGAGUAGCAUUAGGGAAAGAAUGACAUUAAAAUAAAUGGGGUCAAAAGUAGGGAUUGCACUAUAACUUGGGAGAACAUUAUUAAUAAGCCAGUAAUCUACAUAGUUACCAAUAUAUUUGUUGUUCACUUAAUGAUGACUUGCAACACAGAAUUGCUGAACAAAUAUGCCUGAUCCAAAGCUUAUGGAAGUCAAUGGGAGUCCUAUAGACUAUAAGCUUAUAGUGAAGGAAUCAGCUUUGCAUUGCAGGUUUUGGCCACUGGAGCUUUAAAGGUAAUGCUAAAUGAAAUAAUAGUAUAUUGUAACAAUGGAGGCAGACAUGUAUUCAAGUAACCAAUUUUCUCAUGUAGAUUUGACUGAUGCUAUUUCUCAAGCGUUAUACAGUAUGAACAAAUAAAAAUGGCCUUACAUGGAUGUGCUUAGUAUAGAACAAAGAUUCUUAUUAUCACCUGUUAUUAUCACCUGUAACCCUACUUAAAAUGCCUUGCUCUUGUAUAUUGCACACAAUUGCUGCUGUCAGACACGUAUUAACCAUACAAUAAAUAAAAGACAAGGGCAGGAAGUAUGAGGAGCAAAGUCAAGUGAGUCAAGGAUGAUAUUCAUAAUUAGAAGCCAAUGCAGGUUUCAGAGACAGGAAGAGAGAGAACUAAAAAUCCAGGAAAGAAGAGAAUUUGUAGUAAAAAUGUUCGGACCUAAAUUCAACACAACUUCUACUCCCAAAUUUUAGAAUCUACAACUGUAUGAAAUGCCAUUACUAUUAAAUAGCCUACAGAGAGCACAGAAAUGUGAAAGCUGGAAAAUGGGGCAAUGCCGUUUCUUAAGUUAAAUUAGUAAUUGUGAAUGGUUAGGUUCUGAGAAGCCACUUUCAUUUUUCUUAGAGGCAAAAUGUCCAUACUUACCUUGGAGGUAAAGGGGUCAAAUUGUCUGAAGACCAGAUCCUCCACUGGUGUAAUUCAACAUAGCUCUACUGGUGUAAAUCAAUGGCCUCUUGUUGGCCCACUGGAGUAAUGCCUGCAGAAAAACUGGCCCAAACUUUCAAACAUUAGCUUGCAUUUUGCAACUGAAGUAUUUUGAAAAAACAUCAGUUAGAAGCUACUAAUAUACGCUACGUAUCGCAACAAGGAAAACUGAAAGAAGGCCAGAUUAGUCUGGAGAAAGGCUCCAAUUAUCUAGUAUGUGUAAUAAGUGUACUACUAUAAACUGGUAGUGAAAUGAAUUUACUGUAUGAUAUGUGAGAGAAUGAUAUGAUCAGUGUUGUUAGAAGAGCCAUCAUCGCUCAGAGAGCUCUCUUAUCUCUGAUGGUGCAUUGCCUACUGUGUGCGCAGGGACAGGUGGGGAAAGGGAUAUUAGAGGACUAAUAGGUGUCUCUGGGAAAUUAUUUCUGCCUUCUUUUAAAAAUAUGUAAUUUUCUGCUCGAAAGUGAACAGAUUCAUGCAAUUUUUUCUUCGUGUUAGUUUUCUGCAGCAUUCGUAACGAUCAGCUUAUUUUAUGAAAUGCUAAAUAACCCUUUCUCACUGACUGACAAUGUAUGCACACUAUAAUUCUGGGCUAAAAGGCAAGGCUCAUUACAUUAAAUUAUACUUCACAAAUAAUUCAUAAUGUUACUUCUACUAUUUUUCAAGAAAGGAAGGGAAAAAAAUUGAGCUGGAGUUAGCCUUUAACCUUUGCUAAAACUACAAUACUUGUUGAAAAAAGAAAGGGAGUACUUGUGGCACCUUAGAGACUAACAAAUUUAUUAGAGCAUAAGCUUUCGUGAGCUACAGCUCACUUCAUCGGAUGCAUUGAGCUGUAGCUCACGAAAGCUUAUGCUCUAAUAAAUUUGUUAGUCUCUAAGGUGCCACAAGUACUCCUUUUCUUUUUGCGAAUAGAGACUAACAUGGCUGCUACUCUAAUACUUGUUGAAGUCAUCUUUGAAAAAAUAGUUCCCUUGUCUGGGGAAACAAGUAACUGCUUUCUGGCCUGUUAAAAGCUUAUUUUAUAUGAUGCUGCAUGACGGGUUGCAGCUUAAUGCACCUUUAAAAGAUAUAAAGGAAAAAACAAACACCCUGAAAGGGUCUCAGGUAACUAACUGCUUGGCGUUUCAGAAGAUCAAGAGUUUGCUUCUUCCAGAGAUGGCUGAAAAAUGGGAUAACAUUUUCACCAAAGUUUUGUUCCUCUCUUUUUGGGCCAAAAAAGUUUAAGCAAAAUGUAAUUCAAAUAUUUCAAGCAGAAACUGGAUGAAAUUUUUGUGAAAUUUUCCCACCCACUCUUUCUUGGUUAAAUUCUUGAGGAAAAAAAUUAAUCAAAAGCUUCAGAAUUUUGAAAAUUCUCAACUACCCGCUACUUGCACUUCAUGUAGUUUAGCUGUUUAUUGAAGAGCUUUGCUUACACUAUACACAGCUGCAAAUGACUGCACAGGCACACUGAAGAGGAGAAUCAGACCCUACAACUUGACUAUGAAAGUUAUUAUAUUAUCUAGUGAUAUUUUAAUACUCUGUUACCAAGACACCAAUUAGUACUGUAAUACAGAUACAUAAAGAGAUGUUUUAUUGAUAAAACCAUUCAGGGUUUAGUUUGACUUCUGCAACACCUUUUUCUGAACUUUCCUACGUGAGCCUAUCUAUAGGUAGCCCAGAGUCAGACUUCAGUGUAAAGAAAUGUAUAUGAUUUUACAGCUGUACUAUGCACACACACAGGUCAUAUUUGUACUGGAUGUAAAGAAAGACCUUCCUCUCAAAACCAGUUGUCUUGGAAUAUAUUCUAAAAAUAAUGUAUGACACCUUAGAGACAAUAUAAAGGGAAAGAUUUGGUAACAACAUUUGGUAAUUUUGCAAAUGACUGGCUUAAGAAAAAUUAAUGUUUAGUGCAGUGUUGCAUGUAUUUACACAGAAACUCACUUGAUUGUUUAUUAUAAACAUGUAAAUUAUGAUGUUUUCUUUGUACCACUUUUCCUGGUUGGCUUCAAGUGUCAGGCCUGAUCUUGAAAACAUUUAUUAGCAGGCAUUGUGCUUAUUGCACUGAGUCGUCUCAUUGCCUGCAGUGGAACUACUUGUGGCCAUAAGCAUUUACAGGAUCAAGCUCAUAAUUAUCACUUGCCAAAGGCAGAGUGUCUUGCAGUCACAUGAUAGAGGACUUACAU